UAUUAACGCUGGCGGCGUGCCUAAUACAUGCAAGUCGAGCGAACAGACGAGGAGCUUGCUCCUUCGACGUUAGCGGCGGACGGGUGAGUAACACGUAGGUAACCUAACUAUAAGACUGGGAUAACUUCGGGAAACCGGAGCUAAUACCGGAUAAUAUUUCGAACCGCAUGGUUCGAUAGUGAAAGAUGGCUUUGCUAUCACUUAUAGAUGGACCUGCGCCGUAUUAGCUAGUUGGUAAGGUAACGGCUUACCAAGGCAACGAUACGUAGCCGACCUGAGAGGGUAAUCGGCCACACUGGAACUGAGACUCGGUCCAGACUCCUGCGGGAGGCAGCAGUAGGGAAUCUUCCGCAAUGGGCGAAAGCCUGACGGAGCAACGCCGCGUGAGUGAUGAAGGUCUUCGGAUCGUAAAACUCUGUUAUUAGGGAAGAACAAACGUGUAAGUAACUGUGCACGUCUUGACGGUACCUAAUCAGAAAGCCGCGGCUAACUACGUG
rnacentral:rRNA from 1 species